ensembl:lncRNA MUC20-OT1 MUC20 overlapping transcript
CAGGCAGCUGCUCCCAACCCCAGAACCUUUGCUGUCUUGGGACGGAUCACCGCUGCAAGAGGGGAAGUUGCUACUGUGAUGAAUUCUGCCAUGUGGCACCAGACUGCCACCCAGACCACAGUGUCCUCUGCAACCCUGCUUCUCAGAUGACCAAGAUGGUGCUGCAGAUGGUGCUGAGGAUGGAGAACCCACCAAGCCCCGCUAGGAGCCACCUAGACUGGAUGCAGAGCAUGGUUCAGCGAGUUCUCCAAACCAGCCUCCCAGGAAUGCCAUUCACCAUGGCUGUGAGGAGAAUAAAGAAGAGAGCCUGACUCCUCUUCUGAGGCCCCUUCCCCACCCUGAGCCAGCAGGAUCCACGGAGCAGAGGUCAUCUGUCCCCAGCUUGGCCCACUGAGGCCAGCAUGGCUGGGCCCAGGAUGCUUGUCUCUCAGCUCCCAUCCUGUGUACUUCCACAUUGGUUUAACCAGAGGAAAACUGAAAUGUACAAUUGUCAUAAACACAUUUAAAUGUGCGUAGAAUCAGCCAUACAAAUUGUGAAACAUA